rnacentral:rRNA from 1 species
CAUAGCGGAGGAAAAGAAACUAACAAGGAUUCCCUCAGUAACGGCGAGUGAAGAGGGAAGAGCUCAGUUUUGGAAUCUGGCAGUGAUUCACUGUCCGAGUUGUAAAUUGAAGAGAAUGUCAUCCAUGCUGGACCAUGUCUAAAUUGUAAUGAUCCACAGUCCUUUGAUGGAGUAUCAGAGAGGGUAAUAAUCCCGUCUUUAACAUGGACUACCAGUGUUUCUGUGAUGCACUCUCUCAGAGUCGAGUAGUUUGGGAAUGCUGCUCUAAUGGGAGGUAAACUCCUUCUAAAGCUAAAUAUUGGCGAGAGACCGAUAGCGAACAAGUACCGUGAGGGAAAGAUGAAAAGAACUCUGGAAAGAGAGUCAAAUAGAACGUGAAAUUGCUGAAAGGGAAGCGUUUGGAGUCAGACGCAUCUUCAUGCCAUACCACUCAGUGGCAGAGACUGAGACUGGUUACCUGAAGAUGGGCCAGCACUCACGAAAACCAUUGGAAAAGGGGUCAUGGAAUGUAGCUCAGUCUUGAGUGAUUAUAGCCUUGAUUCAGAAGCAAUGUGUCUUUGUGUGAGAUUGGACAGCACGGACUUUCAGUGCUUGAUUGACUGGCAUAAUGGCUCUAAGCGACCCGUCUUGAAACACGGACCAAGGAGUCUAACAUGUAUGCGAGUAUUAGAGUGAUUGAAACUCUGAAUGCGUAAUGAAAGUGUUCUGACUGAGAAUCCUAUUGGGAGGCAUCAGUACCCCGAGUCUGUUAGUCUUUGACUAAAGGUUUGGAGGCAGAGCAUACAUGUUGGGACCCGAAAGAUGGUGAACUAUGCCUGAAUAGGGUGAAGUCAGAGGAAACUCUGAUGGAGGCCCGUAGCGAUUCUGACGUGCAAAUCGAUCGUAGAAUUUGGGUAUAGGGGCGAAAGACUAAUCGAACCAUCUAGUAGCUGGUUCCUGCCGAAGUUUCCCUCAGGAUAGCAGAGACUGGAAAAAACUCAGUUGCAUGGGGUAAAGCGAAUGAUUAGGGAUCUUGGGGGGUGGAAUACCCUCAAUCCAUUCUCAACUGUGAAUCUGUGCGAGUACAGGAUCCCUUCCUUAAUUGAAGGACCUGUAGAAAGUCAGUCUCUA